UGAGGAAUAUUGGACAAUGGGCGCAAGCCUGAUCCAGCCAUCCCGCGUGAAGGAUGACGGUCCUAUGGAUUGUAAACUUCUUUUGUACAGGAAUAAACCUACUCUCGUGAGAGUAGCUGAAGGUACUGUACGAAUAAGCACCGGCUAACUCCGUGC
rnacentral:rRNA from 1 species